rnacentral:tRNA from 1 species
AAGGCUUUAAGUUAAAAAAACUAUUAGCCUUCAAAGCUAAAAUUGAAAAAGAGAAUUUCAAGCCUUA